rnacentral:rRNA from 1 species
CCCUUAGAUGAUUUGGGCUGCACGCGCGCUACACUGACCCUAACAAUGAGCAACUGUCUGGCCUGAGAUGGCUGGGUAGCCUUUUCAACCCAUGUCAUGAUUGGGCUAGAUUUUUGUAAGUCUUGAUCUCUAACGAGGAAUCCCAAGUAUGCGUGAAUCAUCAAUCCAUGCAGAUUAUGUCCCUGCCCUUUGUACACACCGCCCGUCGCUCCUACUGAUUGGGUGAUCCGGUGAGCUGUUCGGCCAUAGCAAUGUUUCUUGAGCAGGGCAAUGAAUGUUUCGCAAACCUUGCCACUUAGAGGAAGGAGAAGUCGUAACA